rnacentral:rRNA from 1 species
UACGAAGGGGGCUAGCGUUGCUCGGAAUGACUGGGCGUAAAGGGCGCGUAGGCGGAUGGUACAGUCAGAUGUGAAAUUCCCGGGCUCAACCUGGGGGCUGCAUUUGAUACGUGCUGUCUUGAGUUCGGAAGAGGGUCGUGGAAUUCCCAGUGUAGAGGUGAAAUUCGUAGAUAUUGGGAAGAACACCGGUGGCGAAGGCGGCGACCUGGUCCGAGACUGACGCUGAGGCGCGAAAGCGUGGGGAGCAAACGGG